rnacentral:rRNA from 1 species
GAUGAACGCUGGCGGCGUGCCUAAUACAUGCAAGUCGAGCGAACAGACGAUGCGCUUGCUCCUCUGACGUUAGCGGCGGACGGGUGAGUAACACGUGUAUAACCUACCUAUAAGACGGGGAUAACUUCGGGACACCGGAGCUAAUAGCGUAGAAUAUAUUGAACCGCAGGGGUCAAUAGUGAAAGUCGGUGUUGCUGGCACUUAUAGAGGGAUCCGGGCCGCAUUAGCUAGUUGGGCAGGUAACGGCUUACCAAGGCGAGGAGGCGUAUCCGACCGGAGAGACGGGUCGGCCACCUUGGAGCUGAGCCGGGGUCAAUGGUACUACGGGAGGGCGCAGUCGGGAACGUGACGCAACGGGCGAAAGCCUUACGGAGCAACGCGGCGCGAGUGGUGACGGUCUUCGGAGCGGAAAACUCUGUUAUUAGGGAAGAACCAAUGUGUAAGUAACCAUGCCCGUAUUGACGGUACCGGAUAAGAAAGCACCGGCUAACUACGUG